UUUGUCAAGUAGAAACAGCCGUUUCUCACCUUACAGCAUUGCUAGUAUGGUCAUGUAUGAUUAUUACAAAAAGAUUUGUGGUAAUAGAGGACGGCGAAAGCCGUCCUUUUAUUAUUUA
rfam:Clostridium cavendishii DSM 21758 genome assembly, contig: EJ30DRAFT_scaffold00007.7